GUGCAUAUAACACACGAGUACGUAUUAUACGCAAAUAAAUAAGGGGUGCUAAUUGGGAUUGUUCACUAGCCAAUAUAUUAGCAAAUAUCGCCAUGGGCGCUUAUUACGUUGAAUACGGUAUUGUUUAUGACAGUGUUACUCCAUGGUGCUGGCAGAAUCCUUAUUGACAUCAACAUCCUGUAAAUAACUGAGUCCAUCAACCAGCUGAGAAAAGAUCCAUGUCUUCGGGACACAAUGAUACACACUCAGGUCACACAGUUUAACCAUGUGAUGCAAUGGCUGACUCAUGUGCACAUUGACAGCCUAUCAGCCAUGUCACACAUUGUAUCAAACUAUUCGUCAUUAAUCACCUUUUGUCCUUGUCCUUCAACAAGCAUGGGAUACAGGGGACCUACUUUGUCCUGGAAUCCCCAGAAUUAGAUGCAAGUCAAGUGCUUAAUGUACCAUGUCUACAUUUCAAGGCAAUGGAUAUUACGCAGUAUCAACCAACCACUGAAAAGAAGAUACGCUCCUCUGAAACGAAAUGGCAACUAUAUCGUUAUUUACAAUGCAGUGGAUGGAUAAAUUAAUCGUACAAUGGUUCAGACGUUUCCAGCAGCUGGUUAGUGUUGAAGGAUGGACAACCGAAUAACAUCCAACCAGCAACAUCUCCUCUGAAACCAAAUGGGCGACAUGUCACUACUGGAUGGAUAAAUUAAUCUUACAAUGAUUCAGACGUUUCCAGCAGCCGGUUAGUGUUGAAGGAUGGACAACCGAAUAACAUCCAACCAGCAACAUGUGAGUUCAACGUCUGGUCCGAGUUCAAUUCUCAACAUCAGUACAUAAAAUAUGAAUCUGACUCCAAAGGUAUUACUCAGGCGAGCGUGAAAUCCUUAUGACACAAUUAAUAGACAAUAGAAUAUCACUGGAAAUGAUUAUUGUGAUAGACAUACAUUAAUGAGAUACUAUUACAAUCGUGUUGUCAAGUAUAUUUCCCUAUGUACGUCGCUUAAGGCUCGCAUAUGUAAGGUAGUUAAGAUACGGAAACUCAGUCGGCAAAUAAUUUCUGUCUCUUGUAACAAGAUUGUUUUUACAAAGAAAUACAAAGGUGUCGAUAAGCAGUAUUAUAUAAUUCGUCUAUCCGAAUUAUGGUCUGGCGAGGCAUCUGUGACAACGGUUGAUAUUCCAACUUUGGAUCAUGGACAACUACAAAUCAAUCAGUCAUUACACACAUGGUGUACCGCCUCUUGUAUGUACAUGGACGGCAGCGCAUUAACUGAUGUCUAAAUACCUGUGAA